GACGAACGCUGGCGGCGUGCUUAACACAUGCAAGUCGAACGGUAAGGCCCUUCGGGGUACACGAGUGGCGAACGGGUGAGUAACACGUGGGUGAUCUGCCCUGCACUUCGGGAUAAGCCUGGGAAACUGGGUCUAAUACAGGAUAGGACUCCUGGCUUCAUGGUUGGGGGUGGAAAGCUUUUGCGGUGUGGGAUGGGCCCGCGGCCUAUCAGCUUGUUGGUGGGGUAAUGGCCUACCAAGGCGACGACGGGUAGCCGGCCUGAGAGGGUGACCGGUCACACUGGGACUGAGAUACGGUCCAGACUCCUACGGGAGGCAGCAGUGGGGAAUAUUGCACAAUGGGCGCAAGCCUGAUGCAGCGACGCCGCGUGAGGGAUGACGGCCUUCGGGUUGUAAACCUCUUUCAGCUAUGACGAAGCGCAAGUGACGGUAGUAGCAGAAGAAGGACCGGCCAACUACGUGCCAGCAGCCGCAGUAA
rnacentral:rRNA from 1 species